AUGCAAGAUAUGAGGAAUGGUAGAUUAGAGACGUUAUAGAGGAGAAGAGAAGUUAAUGAAAGAUAAACAGGAAGAAAGUCCACAUCAACAACCAUUCGCGCAACUACCCAAUUCAUUCUCUUUUAACUUCUAUUCACUCAUAAUUCAAUCCAUCUAAUUUAACUCCAAUCAUUCCCACUUUUAUGCCUCCACGGAUAAGUUCGCCGAUUGGUUCCGCUCGGAGAAAUAAGCCGCGGCAACCGUUGCCGUCACCCCACCGCCGGACGAACAACAAGCCGAAGCAUGUCAAGGUCUUGAAGCGCUGCUCAUCGGCGCCUCUGCUUACACGACGAGAAAACGGCGAUGCUGACGGCCAUUAUUGGAAAAGUGGAAGAGGCUCGUUUUUCCGUCCUAAAACGUUUUCCGAUGCCUUUCUGUCUUCCCCUUCUCCCUUUUCCUCCCCGCGGAUACACACUAAGCAGAUAAUAAAGGGGUACGACAAAGAGGCUAAGGUGGUAGUUAAUGUGACCGUUGAGGGAAGUCCAGGGCCAGUUCGAACCAUGGUUAAACUGGGUUCCAGUGUGGACGACACAAUCAAGCUUGUGGUAGAUAAAUACAGAGAAGAAGGAAGGAGCCCCAAUAUCAAUCCUAGUAUGACAUCUUCAUUCGAAUUGCAUCACUCUCAUUUCAGUCUCCAGAGUUUGGAUAAAUCAGAAGUGAUUGCGGAUGUGGGUAGUAGAAGUUUUUAUUUGCGGAAGAAUAGCAGUGCUUCUAUUUUGAGUUCAUUUCAUUCGGGAAGUGCUCCCCAAUUAGUCAGUCGUGCCUCUACUCCAUCCGUACCAAAUCCUCCUCCAUUCUUCAUCCAUUCUUUCUUUGCCCGCAAGAUUAGCAAAAUUGUAAGAAGAGCUCAGCGUCUUUGGAACAUCGUUGUUUGCUCCCAGUGAGGACGCUCACACUCUCUUCAGUCAAUGAUGGGAAAAAGCAACAACUUUUAAUAUGUUGCCUUUCAACCCCUCAUUUUCAGCUUUAAUUGGAUGAAUAUUGGAUGAAUAGCAUUUAACAAAAUAAGCUAGAAAAAGGGAUGAUUGUUUGAGUUAGUGGUGUUGCGAGAAUGGCGUGCAUGGCGUGCAUGGCCUAGAAAUGUAGAGGAAGGAGAAGACGUGCA